rnacentral:rRNA from 1 species
GGCGUGCUUAACACAUUCAAGUCGAACGAUGACGGCCGUGCUUGCACGGUCUGAUUAGUGGCGAACGGGUGAGUAACACGUGAGUAACCUGCCCUCCACUUCGGGAUAACCUCGGGAAAUCGUGGCUAAUACCGGAUAUGAGCACUCAUCGCAUGGUGGGUGUUGGAAAGAUUUAUCGGUGGAGGAUGGACUCGCGGCCUAUCAGUUUGUUGGUGAGGUGAUGGCUCACCAAGGCGAUGACGGGUAGCCGGCCUGAGAGGGCGACCGGCCACACUGGGACUGAGAUACGGCCCAGACUCCAACGGGAGGCAGCAGUGGGGAAUAUUGCACAAUGGGCGGAAGCCUGAUGCAGCGACGCCGCGUGAGGGAUGACGGCCUUCGGGUUGUAAACCUCUUUCAGUAGGGAAGAAGCGAAAGUGACGGUACCUGCAGAAGAAGCGCCGGCUAACUACGUGCCAGCAGCCGCGGUAAUACGUAGGGCGCAAGCGUUGUCCGGAAUUAUUGGGCGUAGAGAGCUUGUAGGUGACUUGUCGCGUCUGCCGUGAAAACCCGAGGCUCAACCUCGGGCGUGCGGUGGGUACGGGCAGGCUAGAGUGUGGUAGGGGA